rnacentral:piRNA from 1 species
UGUGCUUGUUGUAAUUUUGUUUCGAUACU